CACUCAGUACAACACAGAAUGGCACAGGGAUGCACGCUUUGUAAUAGGGAUGUUGAUGUUUUUCUCAGGAAUGGCCAUCAACAUCCACAGUGACAAUGUUUUACGAAACCUGAGGAAACCAGGAGAGAUCAACUAUAAAAUCCCAAGAGGUCAGUUUUUACUUUUAAAGGGCUCACACUGUAAACAUGGAUUUAAUAUUCAAUUAAACAAUUGAAUUACAGUGUACUUAAAUUAUUUAAGUUUGAUUGCAUUACUAUAAAAUGUAAGUAUAUUCUAUUAAUUUGUCGACCAAUUUGAAUGUGUGAAUAACUAAGUUAAAUGGCUUAAAACGAUUAAGUUUUUGUCCUGACCAAACCCCCACACUUGAAAGUCACAUAUGUCAUGCCUAAUAAUAAUGACGUUGUAUCUCAUAGUUAUGAUUUUUAGAUCUCAUAAGAUACUAUCUCAUAAUUAUGACUUAUUGUGUCAUAAUGACUUAGUAUUUCAUAAUAAUGAGAACAUUUCCCAUAAUUAAGACAUCCAUUCUCAUAAUAAUGACUUGUAAUUAUGUCCAGUCAUUAUAAGAUCAUAGAAAGUAAUAAUUAUUAGAAAAUUAUGUCAUUAUUAUGAGAUAUGUUCUCAUUAUUAUGACACACUAUGGGAAUUAUUUUUUUUAAUGUCUAUGGAAAAAUUAAUUUCUGAGAAAUCAAAUGUUUCUGUCUAAUAGCACAAUGUACUUCAGUAACCACGAGCGCUGCAUCCGUUACUAUGGAGACGACUCUGGCUAGAUCCGCAAACUGUUCGACGGGGCAUUUUUCACCUGUUAGCUAGCUACUUUUAUCUUUCGCCGUGCGGCGGACACCGGUGACUUUGACAGAGAUUUUUCGUCUGUUAGUGACAUUUGUCAUCUGUUAGCUUGUUACUUUCCUCCCUCGCGCGCUUAAACACCCGCUCGGCGACGCACGAGGUGCCGCACGGAGGAGAGAGGAGGGCGACCGGAAGAGUGCAGAUCCACGGUCUACUGAAUCUGGUGAGUGCAUUUAAGUUAACAUUAGCGACCACAUUGUAUUUUGACACUGCUAUUGAUUGAAAUAAAAACAGUAGCUACUGGAUGUAACUCCAGUUUUAUCUUGGUUCAUAGCUCUCUAACAGGCUUUUCCAUGAUAAACAAACUUGUUUUGUGUUGCAGGUCACAGGAAGAGAUGUAUUAUAACUGUGAAAAGAGAGCACAGCUAUUUAAACAUUUUAGGCUCAAACAUGGAAGUCAUGCAAGAAUGGAACAAUUUCCUUGUUCACAUCAGAAAUGUUAGUGCAUUUAGUGAUUUAAAUGUACAUAAAAAGUACACUUAUUACACCAGAUCAGCAACCAAAUGAAUCUGGUACCAGUUUAGUUUUGCUUUCUGUCAUGUGGGUUUGCCGAGUCAUGUUCUGAGGCUGAUUACUUUAUUCACCUGCAUACUGCACAUUUAAAGUUAACCAUAAAGUCAGGUGCCUUAUAAAUACUGUAACUUUGAAAGCAGUGUCUAGUCUAGCCUUUGCAUGUGUAUCAAGGUGCAGCAUAUAUAUAUAUAUACACACACACAUCUGGGAGUGGUUAACAUUGUGUGACCCAAAUUAUGUAGUGUUGGGAGUCAUAGAUGGGGUAAUUUGACCAUGGGCUUAUACAUGAUUUGCUAUGUUUUAUGCUUCAGGUUUAUUACGAGUUCAACAGAGUGGUGGGAAAAAUCUCUUCUUUGAUGCACUUGACCGUUUCUCUCCAAGCCUGAUGGACCUCUUCAGGAAGAAGAAAGGCCUCACAAGCUUUGUCUGAGCUUUUACGUCAGACAAAGACCACUGAGCCAACAGACAUUAGGUGCCUUUGUCUUCAGGGAUUGCCGGUCAUUUUGGGGGAUGAUCCUUCUGCCUUCUUCAAGACCUCCUCCAUAAGAUGUAACUGACAAGGACUUGUACAGUCAGACUCCAGUGGCAAUCCUCUACGUUGAUCAAGAAAGUCCUCAGCUAAACCCAUCCAGAGUGGGGAUCAUCUUGGAAGGGAGUUUGGUGAUGGGUGAACUGGCCAACCUGCCUCUGGCCUUCUGUGUCCUUUUUGGACUGAUUUAUGCCCUGCACCUGGACUAACCCAAGUGCUUGAAAAACACUUUCUGCUUUAUUCUGCAGGGGGAAUGUUUGAGUGGGUCUCUGGUGCUAACUACUUUGGGGAGAUUGUUGAAUGGUGUGGAUACGCUGUGGCCACCUGGACCUUUCCUGCGUUCUCCUUUGCGGUCUUUACCAUCUGCUCCAUUGGGCCACGAGCCUAC